rnacentral:rRNA from 1 species
UACAGAGGUCCCAAGCGUUACUGAGAAUCACUGGGUUUAAAGGGUGCGUAGGUGGUCCGUUAAGUCAGUUGUGAAAUCCCCGGGCUCAACCCGGGAACUGCUUCUGAUACUGGCGGACUUGAGGCCAGUAGGGGUCACUAGAACUGACGGUGGAGCGGUGAAAUGCGUAGAUAUCGUAAGGAAGACCAGUGGCGAAGGCGAGUCUCUGGACAGUUACUGACGCUGAGGCACGAAGGCCAGGGGAGCAAACGGG